rnacentral:rRNA from 1 species
AUUGAACGCUGGCGGCAGGCCUAACACAUGCAAGUCGAACGGUAACAGGAAGCAGCUUGCUGCUUUGCUGACGAGUGGCGGACGGGUGAGUAAUGUCUGGGAAACUGCCUUAUGGAGGGGGAUAACUACUGGAAACGGUAGCUAAUACCGCAUAACGUCGCAAGACCAAAGAGGGGGACCUUCUGGCCUCUUGCCAUCUUAUGUGCCCAGAUGUGAUUUGGUAGUAGGUGGGGUAACGGCUCACCUAGGCGACGAUCCCCAGCUGGGCUGAGAGGAUGACUCGGCCAAAUGGAAAUGAGAAAAGGGCCCGACCCCCAAGGGAGGCAGCCGGGGGGAAAAUUGCAACAUUGGCGGAAGCCCGAUGCCGGCAAGACGGGUGUAUGAAGAAGGCCUUUGGGUUGUAAAAUACCUUUAGCGGGGAGGAAGGGAGAAAAGGUAAUAACUUUGCUCAUCGACGUUACCCGAAGAAGAAGGCACGGCUAACUCCGUG